AAAGUCGUANCAAGGUUUCCGUAGGUGAACCUGCGGAAGGAU
rnacentral:rRNA from 1 species